rnacentral:rRNA from 1 species
AGCGAACGCUGGCGGCAGGCCUAACACAUGCAAGUCGAACGAACUCUUCGGAGUUAGUGGCGGACGGGCGAGUAACACGUGGGAACGUGCCUUUUGGUUCGGAAUAACUCAGGGAAACUUGUGCUAAUACCGAAUGUGCCCUUCGGGGGAAAGAUUUAUCGCCAUUAGAGCGGCCCGCGUCUGAUUAGCUAGUUGGUGAGGUAACGGCUCACCAAGGCGACGAUCAGUAGCUGGUCUGAGAGGAUGACCAGCCACACUGGGACUGAGACACGGCCCAGACUCCUACGGGAGGCAGCAGUGGGGAAUCUUGCGCAAUGGGCGAAAGCCUGACGCAGCCAUGCCGCGUGAAUGAUGAAGGUCUUAGGAUUGUAAAAUUCUUUCACCGGGGACGAUAAUGACGGUACCCGGAGAAGAAGCCCCGGCUAACUUCGUG